AACACACAAGAGUGUGUGUAUCGCCUAGAGCAAAGAAGAAAAAGGGAAAAACCCUUUCUUCCACCAAUUCAAGAAAUUGGAAUGGAAGUUAUGGCCAAAUUCGAUGCAUGAACACUUAAAACCAAUCAUCUAAGCUAAUUUAGCAAGAGGCGUAAAAGAAGAAGGCCCAAACGUCAAGAAAAUGGAACGCUCGUAAAAUCGAGGUCAUGUGAAUGGAAUUUAUCAUGUAAAAGAAUGAAUCCGGACCGACCCGUUGUGAAUGAGUCGAAUGGAUGAAAGGUUAUGCGAAAAAGAUGUGUAUGUAUUAACUCGGCAUGAACGGGUCAAAUCGGAUGUAUACGUUAAAAGAAGAGAUGGAUGUUUGAUCCGCUAUAAACGGAUCAAACGAAUGUAUGUGAUAUUUAAUAUUUUGAAGAAGUAUGUAUUGACCCGUUUUGAACGGGUCAAGUAAAUGAGAAUGUUAUACAAAAGUAUGGAAUGGUAAAGUAUGGACAUGCUAGAAAAGAGUCAACUGAAUAGAUGGUUUAUGAAUUGAUUUCGGUUAGGUACUUGUCUAAUCAUAAUGUAUCUAUCGAAGUUAAACUACAAAUGUGUAAGUAGAAGUAUGAAGUAAGACUGUAUGAUUGAUGAAAGAUAGUAUUGUAUUUAAAGAAAUUGAUAAAGGAGUUUGUUAUG